rnacentral:rRNA from 1 species
UACGAAGGGGGCUAGCGUUGUUCGGAAUUACUGGGCGUAAAGCGCGCGCAGGCGGCUAUCCAAGUCAGUGGUGAAAGCCCGGAGCUCAACUCCGGAACUGCCAUUGAAACUGUUUAGCUUGAGGACGAGAGAGGUGAGUGGAAUUCCCAGUGUAGAGGUGAAAUUCGUAGAUAUUGGGAAGAACACCGGUGGCGAAGGCGAGUAAAUGGACAACUCCUGACACUGAGGCACGAAAGCUAGGGGAGCAAACAGG